GGGGGAAGCGGGACCGGCUCCAUGCAGCCCGGUGGGAGGCUCCGCGCUCAGUCCCGCGUGGGGCUCCCGGGAGCGGCUUGUCCCUGAUGGCGGGCUGGAGACUGAGAAAACGCGACGGGAAGAUGCUGGAAAGGUGAGAGCCAAUGAGGUGUUGUCAGACUGCUCCAUGGGCCAUGCUCCCAGAGUCUGGACCAGGGAAAAGCCGGUGGAAGUCAGCACGGGUUACCAAUGCAGCAGAGAGAAUCCACAGGGGACGGGUGAGGCAAAUCCACUCUCUGCGAGAGAUGUCUUAAGAAGUGCGAAGACGUGGCUGUGCACCAGAGCCCAACUCAGGAGAGAGAGAGACCGUAGACAUGUGGUGAAUGGGGCAAAAGCUCUUGGCAGUGCCCAGCCCUUAUCAAACACCAGAGAAUCUGUAUGGGAAAGACGCCCUACAAAUGCAUUGCGUGUGGGAGGAGCUUGCGGCUGAGCUCAGCACUCCUGAGACACCAGAGGAGCCACGCUGAGCAGAUCCCCCGCCAUCCCACUGACUGUGGGGAGAGCUUCCAGCAGCGCUCUGCCUUUGCCAGACACCGGAGAAUCCACUGGGUGGAGAAAAGGUACGAGUGUGCUGACUGGGGCAAGGCCUUUGGGCAGAGCUCAGAACUGAUCAGACAUCAGGGACUCCACACCGGCAAGCGGCCCUACACGUGCUCCGAGUGUGGGAAGAGCUUCUCUUGGAGCUCAACCCUUGGAGCUCACCGGAGGAUCCAUACAGGCGAGAGACCCCAUCAGUGCAGGGAAUGUGGGGAGCGCUUCAACUGGAGCACCACCCUCCUCGUUCACCAGAGGAGCCAUACGGGGCAGAGACCCUACAAAUGCACUGAGUGUGGGAAAGGCUUCAGUCACAGCUCGGCUCUCGUUCAGCAUCAAAUAAUGCACACGGGAGAGAGACCCUGGACCUGCUCCGGGUGCGAGAAGAGCUUCGGUCAGAGCAAAUCCCUCCUUGCCCAUCAGAGGAGCCACACGGGGAACAGGCCCUAUGGGUGCAGCGAGUGUGGGAAAGGCUUCCAGCGAAGCGCAGAGCUUCUCUGACACUAGGAGGACAGACCCUACAAAUGUAGCGCCUGCGGGAAGAGCUUCAACAGCAGCUCGAACCUGACCGAGCAUCAGCGAAUCCACACUGGGGAGAAACCCUACAAAUGUGUGGUGUGCAGGAAAGGCUUCAGCCAGAAAUCGUCCCUCACAGCCCAUCAGAGAACCCACACGAGCCAGAGGCCCUAUAAAUGUCCCAGUUGUGAGCAAAGGUUUAGGUGGCGCUCAACACUUAUUAGACAUCCGGGAAUCCAUGUGGAGCCCGGUUGCUCUGGGGGCAUUUUCGUAAAACUGCCAGGGAGCUAUGUCCUGUUAAGCAGGGAGCCUGGGGGCUGCACCAAGAAGGGCUGCGUUUGCUCUGGACCCCUCCCAAGAAGGAAGUAAAAGGAGGCAGUCCAAGACUUGAGCAUUCACCUGCUGAGAGAGGAAAUGUAGUUGCUGUAGAGGAAAAAUCAUUUUAUUGAUAAAAACUCAUCAGCUGCUUAUCUCUGAGCUGCCUGGAGAGCAGGUCCUAGCCAGUGUGCUGGGACGUGUGGGGCUCACGGCCUGAUUCUAAGGCACCAAAAAAGUCAUCAUCAAAAUAAUAUGGUGUUCAAUGAUCGCCUAAAUGUGAAUUGUGAAAAAAUAACUGGCAAAACCUGUGUGCUGUGGGGGCGAGAGACUGUGUGGAGCAGAGGUGAGUUACUGAGGGGAGAGUGAGCUGUGAAAGAAAGCAGAACUGCUAAAUUCAAAUCUAUGGAGCUGUAGCCCCUUCUCAUUCAUGCUGGCGCGGCUCUGUGGAUUUCUCCUGCCGUGUUGGCCACAUCUGAGUGCCGUGGAAUGUGCAUCCUGUUUGUGUCCAGGUGUGGACUGGUCCAUGACUUACAGAAACCGAAUCGAUGCAUCGGAGGCGAGCUUAGGCCAGUUGGGCCGGGAGCUCACUCAUCCUGGGGGCGGAGAGAACAAACGACCGGCUGUGCCUCCAGACUGCAGAGGGGGUGAUGCUGAUCACUGGGGCUGGCUGCUUUCUCUUAGGAAUGGCGUAAAACCAUUUGAUCCUGCUUGAAACAUGUAAAAUAGGUUUGUGGGUUGUUGUUUUAUUUAAAAGGCCCCCCCGCCCCCCAAUUUCUGCAAAGGCUCCCUCUGAUCAAGGUAACCACCUCACCCCUUUCCUUGGUCCAUAGCUGAUGUAGGCCCCAUUGCACAGGCAGGGCUUUCAGCAGCCUUGUUGCCGUCUCGCCUGACCUGUCAGAAAUGCCAUGUUUGGGGACGUGGGGAAGAGAGAGCGUCCAGUGUUAGCAGUGGCUGGAAGGUGCAGGCCUCCUCCAGCUGGGACCGCUCGGGAGGUUCCUAGUUGGUUUGAGGGUCAGAUACGCCCACCACGGCUGUGCUCGUGAGCCGGAGUGUGUGACUGUGCUGGAGGUAGUGUAUUGAAUGAUCCCUGUGGCCAUAGGCUGUGGCAGAAGUUCACCACCCCCUAACUUGUCUCCAUCCCUUUGCAUGCAGCUCCCAGGUUCCCUGAAACAGUCAUUGCCCCGCUUAUGCCACCCACCCACCUGCAGCCUCAAUGGAGAGAUUUAAAACUCAACCAGCCUGUGGUCCAGACCCUCCCUGAGAUCUUAGUUCUGGGCAGGGACAGGGGAGCUGCCUCCUCCCCGUGAGACUGGCUGGGAACACUGCACGGAGUCCAGUGUGUUCUGGGAGCAGCGGGGCAGUCACACACUACAGCAUUUCUCUUCCUUGUGGAUGAUAUUUCUCCCAGGCCAAGGGCGCAAUGGUUAACAGGCUGGGGUUUUGCUUGGGGCGGGAGGGGGUGUUUGAACAGGCAGGAGGGACCAAUGAAAGUGUAGAAUUGCUGAGCCUGGAGACUUUUGAACACUUUACAUAAUUAACACUCACAUAAUCAGUGAGGUGACAGGCAAGCGUUGCGGGCCAAAGCUGGGGCAUUUGCCCGUCAGAGAAACUUGCGAGUGGGACCAGUCCAAAUGCCCUCAGACCCUCCUGCGUUGGUCCUGGACCAGUGAGCAGGAAGGAAAGCUCCUGCUCCCGGAUUCCUAGUAGCUACAUCCCCCGGGCCCAGAGGUGUGUGCCUGCCUGGACUAGGGAAGGAAGAAGAGGCUAAGGGUUUCCAUGCGUUGAUGGGGGUGAGCUGCCUGCAGUGGGGAGGAGAUGAGUCCAGUCUGCCGUGGGGGACUGACUGAUCAUGAGUUUGGGAGGCUGACUGGUGAUUUUUCCAUUCGGGGGGUUGGCAAUGCUGAUCUUGCUCACCAGGUCGCUUUUCCCGAAGCGCUUGCAGCGGUAAUUGUAAGUACGAGAUAACUCGUUAGUAAUAGCCCACGAGUAACAGCACUAGUUAUUUUUGUUUAGCAAUUCUACUUUCAUGCUUCUACUUGUCGGUCAGGCAUUUUCUACAUUCAUAGUUUACUCUACAGUUUAACAAGAGUUGAGUACGCAAGUGACAGUUUAGUCACUGUUAGAAUUUGGACUUAAUCUCCACGAACAGAAUAGUGUAAUGUAAUGUAUACCAUGGGUGGAUUCUUUGGUCAUCCAGCUGUAUUAUUUAAUGAUGAGACAAAAAUCAAAAAGUAUGAACAGAUGAACCUCGUACAUAGCGGCGUUCCUUUUUCCUUAUGAGUCUUACUUUAAAUCUCUACCUAAAAGGACAGUUUAAUUAAGCUUUAACGUCUCUCCUAUAAAGAAAGAAAACAUAAAAUUCCCCAAAGCCCCCUAGUGUGCUAAACCGUCCAAUCCAACUCCAGUCAAGUGACACCACACAUUUUAAACCCACACGGAGUGCUCAACUGAAACAACCCAAUUAAAGCAGAGCUUAGCGUGCAAAGCCAGGUUUCUUACAAUCUUCAUAAGAAAGUUCCCACGCUGUAUUGUCAAACGCUGCUAAUUUCUGGGGUGUUACAUUGACGAUUACAGCCAGAAUGAUGAUGAUAAAUUCUUCAAAGCCACAACGGGUCAGUAGGCAAGAGAUAAGAGGUCUUUGUUCACAAAAGGAGAAUUCCAAUGCCAGUUAAACUGAAACUGCCCAUUAACAGAUGUAUAUAAAAGUUAGGUUUCAGAGUAGCAGCCGUGUUAGUCUGUAUCCGC